UACGUAGGGGGCAAGCGUUGUCCGGAAUCAUUGGGCGUAAAGCGCGCGUAGGCGGCCCGGUAAGUCCGUUGUGAAAGUCAAAGGCUCAACCUUUGAACGCCGAUGGAUACUGCCGGGCUAGAGUCCGGAAGAGGCGAGUGGAAUUCCUGGUGUAGCGGUGGAAUGCGCAGAUAUCAGGAGGAACACCAAUGGCGAAGGCAGCUCGCUGGAACGGUACUGACGCUGAGGAGCGAAAGCGUGGGGAGCAAACAGG
rnacentral:rRNA from 1 species